UAGGGAAUCUUCGGCAAUGGACGAAAGUCUGACCGAGCAACGCCGCGUGAGUGAAGAAGGUUUUCGGAUCGUAAAAACUCUGUUGUUAGAGAAGAACAAGGACGUUAGUAACUGAACGUCCUCUGACGGUAUCUAACCAGAAAGCCACGGCUAACUACGUGCC
rnacentral:rRNA from 1 species